AGUAGCUUGGCCGAUUGGAUUAGGCAAGGGUCUACGAAGCCCUGUAGGUAGGUUCGAUCCCUACAGUUACUACCA
rnacentral:tRNA from 1 species